rnacentral:RNase_P_RNA from 1 species
UGAGCCCGCUGAGUAGUCGCUUGGCUUUUUGAGCUGAGAGGAAAGUCCGGGCAGCAUAGGAUACGACAGUUGUUAACGACAACCGGGGGAAACCCUAGGGAAAGUGCCACAGAAACUUAAACUACUCGUCGCUUGCGAUGGGAAAAGGUGAAAAGAGUGAGGUAAGAGCUCACAGCUGGGCAUGGUGACAUGUCUAGGAGGUAAACCCUGUCGGCUGCAAGGAGGUUCGCGCAAAAUGACGAUCCGUUAGCGAAUCGAUCACCGCUUGAUCGUGCGGGCAACCGCAUGGCUAGAUAGAUGACUACUUAAACAAAACCCGGCUUAUAGGCGGACUUAAUUA